rnacentral:rRNA from 1 species
GACGAACGCUGGCGGCGUGCCUAAUACAUGCAAGUAGAGCGCACAAGGUUGGUCCUUGUACCAACCGGAAGAGCAGCGAACGGGUGAGUAACGCGUGGGGAAUCUGCCUUUGAGCGGGGGACAACAUCAGGAAACGAAUGCUCAUACAGCAUAAAAACUUCAAACACAAGUUUUAAGUUUGAAAGAUGCAAUUGCAUCACUUAAAGAUGACCCCGCGUUGUAUUAGUUAGUUGGUUAGUUAAAGGCUCACCAAGGCGAUGAUACAUAGCCAGCCGGAGAGGGUGAUCGGCCACAUUGAGACUGAUACACGACCCACACUCCUAGGGGAGGCAGCAGUAGGGAAUCUUCGGCAAUGGACGAAAGUCUGAGCGAGCAACGCAGCGUGAGUGAAGAAGGUUUUCGGCUCGUAAAGCUCUGUUGUUAGAGAAGAACGUUGGUGAGAGUGAAAAGCUCAUCAAGUGACGGUACCUGGCCAGAAAGGGACGGCUAACUACGUG